rnacentral:tRNA from 1 species
GCCUGGGUGGCUCAGUCGGUUGAGGAUUGGACUUUGGCUCAGGUCAUGAUCUCCCAGUUCAUGGGUUCAAGCCCCAUGCCAGGCU